rnacentral:rRNA from 1 species
AUUGAACGCUAGCGGCAGGCCUAACACAUGCAAGUCGAACGAGUGGCGGACGGGUGAGUAAUGUAUGGGAAACUGCCUGAUGGAGGGGGAUAACUACUGGAAACAGUGGCUAAUACCGCAUACCAUCAGAUGUGCCCAGAUGGGAUUAGCUUGUUGGUGGGGUAACGGCUCACCAAGGCGACGAUCCAUAGCUAGUCUGAGAGGAUGACCAGCCACACUGGAACGGAGACACGGCCCAGACUCCUACGGGAGGCAGCAGUGGGGAAUAUUGGACAAUGGGCGCAAGCCUGAUCCAGCCAUGCCGCGUGUAUGAAGAAGGCCUUCGGGUUGUAAAGUACUUUCAGCGGGGAAGCGUUAUCUGCAGAAUAAGCACCGGCUAACUCCGUGCCAGCAGCCGCGGUAAUUC